rnacentral:rRNA from 1 species
AAGUCCGAAUGGGGAGAUUCAGGCCUAUCCGUGCCGGUGGCCGUUGGGUACAGAUGGUGCGGUCGGGUCGGGGCUCUCGGGCCGCCGGCCUUGCUCCGUAUUCACUCGUCCCGGCGGUAUCUGUCUGGUGCGGUGGGCUGCACUUCUCCUCUAGUAGGACGUCGCGACCCGUUGGGAGGUUCCGAUCUUAUGGCCCGCGGUGGAGCCCACGCCGGAGCGCAGGCUCGCUUGCGUUGCCGUGCAUGGACCCGCGGUGACCUGAUUGGCGCCCGACGGUAUCAAAGCUUGGGAAGGAACCGCACAGAGGAUGCGUCCGACGCCCGCAUCGGGCUACGCUCGGACAGGUUCGCACCCGGUCAGCGGCGCUACUGCUUUCGAUACUCGUCCGACCCGUCUUGAAACACGGACCAAGGAGUCUAACAUGUGCGCGAGUCAUUGGGCUCACGAAACCUAAAGGCGAAAUGAAAGUGAAGGCCAGGUCCUUGGACCAGUGCCUAGGGGUGAUGACCGUUCCUUAACCGGGCGGUCCGCAACCCCGGGGCGUCUCAUUCUCUCUGAGAAGUGGCGCACCCAGAGCGUACACGUUGGGACCCGAAAGAUGGUGAACUAUGCGUGGCCAGGACGAAGUCAGGGGAAACCCUGAUGGAGGUCCGUAGCGAUUCUGACGUGCAAAUCGAUCGUCGGAGCUGCGUAUAGGGGCGAAAGACUAAUCG